rnacentral:rRNA from 1 species
UCGAACGUGAAGCAGGAGCUUGCUCCUGUGGAAAGUGGCAGACGGGUGAGUAACGCGUGGGAAUUUACCCAGUGGUUCGGAAUAACGCAUGGAAACGUGUGCUAAUACCGGAUACGCCCUCCGGGGGAAAGAUUUAUCGCCAUUGGAUGAGCCCGCGUCGGAUUAGCUUGUUGGUGAGGUAAAAGCUCACCAAGGCGACGAUCCGUAGCUGGUCUGAGAGGAUGAUCAGCCACACUGGGACUGAGACACGGCCCAGACUCCUACGGGAGGCAGCAGUGGGGAAUAUUGCGCAAUGGAGGAAACUCUGACGCAGCCAUGCCGCGUGAGUGAAGAAGGCCUUAGGGUUGUAAAACUCUUUCACCGGUGAAGAUAAUGACGGUAGCCGGAGAAGAAGCCCCGGCCAACUCCGUGCCAGCAGCCGCGGUAAUACGGAGGGGGCUAGCGUUGUUCGGAUUUACUGGGCGUAAAGCGCGCGUAGGCGGGCUGGUCAGUUGGGGGUGAAAUCCCGAGGCUCAACCUCGGAACUGCCCUCAAUACUGCCAGUCUUGAGUUCGAGAGAGGUGAGUGGAAUUCCUAGUGUAGAGGUGAAAUUCGUAGAUAUUAGGAAGAACACCAGUGGCGAAGGCGGCUCACUGGCUCGAUACUGA